rnacentral:rRNA from 1 species
GACGGAGGAUGCAAGUGUUAUCCGGAAUCACUGGGCGUAAAGCGUCUGUAGGUGGUUUAAUAAGUCAACUGUUAAAUCUUGAGGCUCAACCUCAAAAUCGCAGUCGAAACUAUUAGGCUAGAGUAUAGUAGGGGUAGAGGGAAUUCCCGGUGUAGCGGUGAAAUGCGUAGAGAUCGGGAAGAACAUCGGUGGCGAAGGCGCUCUACUGGACCACAACUGACACUCAGGGACGAAAGCUAGGGGAGCGAAUGGG